GAAAAAGUAUGCAAGAACUGCUAAUUCUAUGCCCCCACGUCUAACAAUGUGGCUUUUUCA
rnacentral:tRNA from 1 species